rnacentral:misc_RNA from 1 species
AAAUAAUUGAAUUGCACAAUCCGAAAAAUUAAGCAUACAAAGACCUGCCUUGCAUUAGCUUUCCUCUAAUCCUCCACAAAAAUAAUAUUGAGGAUAUAUAUAUAUAUAUAUACAUGGGAAGGGGGAAACAGGACACUGUCACAUGUAUUAAAAAUAAUAGUUAAACAUUAAUAUAGGCAUUAUAAAUGAUUACAAGGUACUUUAGUAAAUAUAACUUAAACAAAGUGAAUUUUUCUGACGCCUAUCAGUAUAAGGCUAAUCUAAAAGACUAUCAGUAUUUUCUGUCUGGGCCAACGUAUUUUCAAUCCUCUCAAUGAAGCUCAGCGUGGUUUCCUGACCUUUUUCAUCAAGUCUUGGUAUGGUAUGGCCCUUUGGAUGAUUAAUCACAACAGGGUCUACACAUGAUUCCAAGAGCUCCAAUCCAUAUGGCUUCAAGAAGUCCGUCUCUCCUAAAAAGUGGAGGGAUGGGCACUGAAUUGGAGAAGCAUACGCCUUCUCAGCCACAGAUGGUGAUUUAAACUUAGCCCCUCCGAUUAUUAUCAGAAACUUUAUUUUGGGUACCUUCGUUAGAGCCACACCGUUGGCUUGCAGCCCCGGCAGCCCCGCCGAUAAUAUUGCCCCCUGAGAAAAACCCAGGAGACCAUCGAACGGUCCUUGCUUAAUCAUAAAAUCCUCGAUGUAAGCAAGACACUGGUCAAAAUUUGUGUACUCGGUAAAUUCCUUGUUGAACUGGAACCACUCGUAAUAAGGAGGAUCGAAGAUCCCUUCAACGUCGGAUUUGCCUUGGGCCGGGUAAGGUCCGUCUGGGAAAACAAGAUCGAGCUUUUGAACAACUGAUUCAGGCCACUUGUGGAUCUGUUUCUUGAGAAUUUCUCCGCUUGUUCGAAAUCCAUGGAGGCAUAGAAACCUAGGUUUCCUCACUUUCUCUGCUUCCUUUCCCAUUUUCUGGUUGCUUUUGUUUCUGCUCCUUGUUGUUGGUUACCAG